rnacentral:rRNA from 1 species
UACGUAGGGGGCUAGCGUUGUCCGGAAUCAUUGGGCGUAAAGAGCGUGUAGGCGGCCCGGUAAGUCCGCUGUGAAAGUCGGUGGCUCAACCCUCGAAUGCCGGUGGAUACUGUCGAGCUAGAGUGCGGAAGAGGCGAGUGGAAUUCCUGGUGUAGAGGUGAAAUGCGCAGAUAUCGGGAGGAACACCAAUGGCGAAGGCAGCGCGCUGGGAAGGUACUGACGCUGAGACGCGAAAGCGUGGGGAGCAAACAGG